CGACAGCAAUAUGAAGGUCAGGCUGAAGACCUUACCCGAUUAGCUGAGAGGUGGUGCAUGGCCGUCGUCAGUUCGUACUGUGAAGCAUCCUGUUAAGUCAGGCAACGAGCGAGACCCACGUCCACAGUUGCCAGCAUACCCUCCGGGGUGAUGGGUACACUGUGGAGACCGCCGCUGCUAAAGCGGAGGAAGGAGUGGGCAACGGUAGGUCAGUAUGCCCCGAAUCUCCCGGGCUACACGCGGGCUACAAUGGUUGGUACAAUGGGCAUCUACCCCGAAAGGGGAAGGAAAUCUCUUAAAGCCAAUCGUAGUUCGGAUUGAGGGCUGCAACUCGCCCUCAUGAAGCUGGAAUCCGUAGUAAUCGCGUUUCAACAGAACGCGGUGAAUACGUCCCUGCUCCUC
rnacentral:rRNA from 1 species